rnacentral:lncRNA from 1 species
GGCAAAGUCGAGGGAUACCUGGGGUCCUCGUAGCACCUGUUAGCGGUUUGGCUAGCGGUUGCAAGAGCUGGAGAGGUGGGUGCAGGAGGGCAGACAAAGCAAGAGACAUAGAAGAUUGUGUGAAGUGCCGCACCUUUGAGUGGCAUUAUCUGUCUGGGUCUGUUUUCUCUGAAAGGCCCCAUUGCCAGGCCUGAAGCCAGAGCAUUUCCUGUUGCUCUCUGACAGUG